GCUUGUCUCAAAGAUUAAGCCAUGCAUGUCCAAGUAUAAACCAAUUUAUACGGUGAAACUGCGAAUGGCUCAUUAAAUCAGUUAUAGUAUAUUUGAUACUCACUUACUACAUGGAUAACCGUGGUAACCCAGAGCUAAUACAUGCAACAACGCCCGACUUUGGAAGGGCAGUAUUUAUUAGAUAGUAAACCGACGUCCUUUACGGGACCUUGAGGUGAUUCAUAAUAACUUGCGGAUCGUAUGGCCUUGCGCCGACGACGUUUCAUUCAAAUUUCUGCCCUAUCAACUAUCGAUGGUAGGAUAGAGGCGUACCAUGGUUAUCACGGGUAACGGAGAAUUAGGGUUCGAUUCCGGAGAGGGAGCCUGAGAAACGGCUACCACAUCCAAGGAAGGCAGCAGG
rnacentral:rRNA from 1 species